rnacentral:rRNA from 1 species
UACAGAGGUCCCAAGCGUUGUUCGGAUUCACUGGGCGUAAAGGGUGCGUAGGCGGUCGGGUAAGUCUGAUGUGAAAUCCCACAGCUUAACUGUGAAACUGCAUUGGAUACUAUCCGGCUAGAGGAAUGGAGGGGAGACUGGAAUACUUGGUGUAGCAGUGAAAUGCGUAGAUAUCAAGUGGAACACCAGUGGCGAAGGCGAGUCUCUGGACAUUUCCUGACGCUGAGGCACGAAAGCCAGGGGAGCAAACGGG